rnacentral:sRNA from 1 species
UAUAUUCUCCGCUGGGGGGGGAUGAGAACCCCCGACCGGGGUUCGACAACUGGCAACGCCAGUUGGACAGACCGCGAGCCUACGAGCGGGCUGCCCCGCAGGGGCGAGCGAAGCGAGUCAAUCCCCCCCUCACCGCCA